rnacentral:rRNA from 1 species
UACGUAGGUGACAAGCGUUAUCCGGAAUUACUGGGCGUAAAGCGCACGCAGGCGGCGCAUUAAGUCUGAUGUGAAAUCUCCCGGCUUAACUGGGAGGGGUCAUUGGAAACUGAUGUGCUUGAGGCGGUGAGAGGGGUGUAGAAUUCCCGGUGUAGUGGUGGAAUGCGUAGAUAUCGGGAGGAAUACCAGUGGCGAAAGCGGCACCCUGGCACUAGCCUGACGCUCAUGUGCGAAGGCGUGGGGAGCGAACGGG